GCCAGUCCCACCCGAGGGCAAGGUGGUCACUUGGCCGUUUCCUUUCCUUACCCUGCAGCUUCCAGGAGUCAAGUGUUAGCUCCCCAGGCAGAGGUCCCUUGUGCCGGCCUAGGAAGUGGCACCUCUUGCCAGUCGAAGGCUGCCCUCCCUAGUCCCAGCCCAGCCCCAGGGUGAGAGGUCUCCUGGACCCCCCGGAGCCCGCCUCGCUCAUGUCCACAUUCCGCGCUGAGGUUCCGAGCCUCUGUGAGUCACACUGCCAGCGAGGGCUGGAACCCGGGCCUGCGUUCUGCCAGCUCAGGGUCCUGGGCUGAGGCGGCCUGUCGCCUCAAAGCUCUGCACACUGUGGGGCCCAUCCGACCGGCGUGGACUUCUGCUGGAUGAAUUCUCAGACUCGACAGCACAGGAGUGGCAGCUGCCUGCUUGCCUUCUCCAGGACGGCAACUGCGGAGCUGCCCCCGCCUCCCCCGCCUGGACGGGAGCCAGCAGGACUCGCUCACUGGUGUGCAGGACUGAAAGACGAAUCACAGGCAGUGGUGACAUGGCUACUUAUCAGGCAGCACUGGGACUGGCACACCGUCACCCUUCCCCUGUGAGAUGCACGGAUCUAUGUCACCCUUUGUGGUCGGUCUAUUCUGUUCUCUUGUGAAGUAUUUCCCACACUUACUUGAUCAUGUACAUCCUGAGAAGCACUUAUAUGAUUUGCUACUGCAAAGUGUGACCAUAAACGCAGUGUAUUACACACAUACUCUCGUGCACUCUGAUGAGUUUACGUAGUCAGAUUCCUAGAACUGUUUCUCUCCUUUUUUUUAUUCUAUUCUUCUUGCUUGCUUGCUUGCUUUUACAUUUAAUUUCUUUCUUUCGUUUUUUUUUUUUUUUUUUUUUUGGUACUGGAGAUUGAAUCCAAGAUAUUUGCACUGAGCUACACUUCCAGUCCUUUUCAUUGUGUAUUCUGAAAUUUGAGACAGAAUUUCACGAAGUCACUAAGGUACCCAGGCUUUGGUACUCCUGCUACACCUGCUCCAACUUCCCUGAGUUCUGCAAUUACAGGCAUGUGCCACCAUGCCCAGUGUAUUUGUUUAAGUGUGUGUGUGUGUUACUGGGGACUGAAUUCUGGACCUUUGUAUUGAGCUAAAUCCUUAGCCCUUUUCAUUUUAUGAUUUUUUUAAGUUUUGAAACAAGUUCUUGCUAAGUUGCCCUGAUUGGGCUCAAACUUGUGAUCUCCUGCCUCAGACUCCUAAGUA
rnacentral:lncRNA from 1 species